CCUACGGGAGGCAGCAGUGAGGAAUAUUGGUCAAUGGGCUUACGCCUGAACCAGCCAAGUCGCGUGAGUGAAGACUGCCCUAUGGGUUGUAAACCUCUUUUGUCAGGGGGCAACGCCUGCUACGUGUAUCCGGCCUGAUAGUACCUGCAUAAAAAGCAUCGGCUAACUCCGUGCCAGCAGCCGCGGUAAUACGGAGGAUGCGAGCGGUAUCCGGAUUUAUUGGGUUUAAAGGGUGCGUAGGCGGAAUGCCAAGUCAGCGGUAAAAUCGCGGGGCUCAACCUGGCACCGCCGUUGAAACUGGCGGGCGUGAGGGGGCGAGAAGGAGGCGGAAUGCGUGGUGUAGCGGGGAAAUGCAGAGAUAUCACGCAGAACUCCGAGUGCGAAGGGAGCUCACUAAACUGAAACUGACAUUGAGGCGCGAAAGUGUGGGUAUCAAACAGGAUUAGAUACCCCGGUAGUC
rnacentral:rRNA from 1 species